CACCCCGUGCGUUCGGUGUGGCGGGAGUCGCGCUGCGCCACGUAGCUUCAAAAGAUAAGCUUUGCGUGUAUGGAUUCCCUUGACUCCCAGGAGACAUGGGAGCGCUUAUCUUCAAGGCUGAAUGCGAAGAGACGAUUGUUUUCAUUCACUUUGUGGAAUGUAUAGAUGCUGUUUUUAUGAUGUGUGGUGCCUAAAAUUAUUGAAGCAAAUGCAUGUGUUCUGGAUGUCAAAUAAGCGAAAAUACAAAUAUGAGGAAAGGUGUCGCAACACUUGAAUUUUUUCCCAUAAGUUUCCAAGAAGCCUUGAUGACUACUUAGUCAGAACAAAAAGGGGUACUUGAGGGAUAUAGCAGCACGAAGCUACACCUAUUGUUUUUGAGUCCCUGGGAGUGUCCCUCAGAGGGGAGAGAUGAUGAGCUUCGGGAAAGGCAAAAAGACAGAUCUGGGGAAGGGGGAGGCACUCUUGCUCUCAGCACCGAGGAGGACGGUCAGGCUGCCCUCUGCCUCUGCCUCGUCCUGGGAAAUCUAUCGUCAUCUGCUCCUGUACCUGGGAAUCCUGAGCUCGCUUUCUCCAGCCUCUCCCCCCACCGCCGCUGCUUCUUCGGAGCUUUGAGGUUCCCCUGCUACUCUGUAGCCCUGCCCUGCCCAGCCCUGCCGGGACACCCCUGCUGCUCCAGCUGCCAGCGCAGAGCUCCUCAUCUCAUCCACCGGUCCGGGACUUUCCACCCUUCCAGCUUGGCCUCUCAGAGUCCUGCAGGGGCACCGAGAUCAAACUGCUCUGGGCUUUUGUAAAAGAAAGCCCUCAAGGUUCUUGGUUCUGUUUAUUAUUGAUACUGUAGUUGUUUGUUUGUCGUUUUGUCAUAUAUACUAGUAAAGAACUGUUAUUCCUACCCCCAUACCUCUGCCUGAAAGCUCCUUUAAUUUUUUUAAUUGGAAUAAUUUGGAGGGAGGGGAUUUGAAUUCUCCAUCUCUAGGGAGGUCCUGCCCCCUUCCUAGCAGAUAUCUGUCUUUUAAACCAAGACACAUGGGUACAGAAUAACAUGUCCUUCUAACUGUCUAAAAUGACAUAACAAACUUCUAGUGCAUUAAACUUGCCUUAAUAAGUGCCUAAAAGAUUCAAACCUUGCAAUUUAGAUCCAAUUCACCAGUGUGAAAUGUAAUUGUUAAUUUCUUCAUGGCCACCUUUGCAAAAUGUGUAGUAGUCUUGGCUUGUUUCUGUGCCCCCCCCACCCCAGUCAUUUUAAUUUUUUGGAGCUUUAUGGACAAGUCCAACUGAGUUUAAUGCAAUGGAUUUCAGUAAUGCAUUUUUUGUGAAAACACCUCAGAGCUGAUACUAGUUGUCCCCCUUUGUGAGGAUGGAAACAAGUGCAUAGGGAAAUGGGGACAUCAGUCUUAGUGAUUUCCCAUGGCUUAAUAUUUUUCUAAGCAGAUCACAUUGCAUGGCCAACACAAGGAAAAGUGCAUCACCACUGUCCUUGCUUUUCUAUUUAUUACAAAGAUGGUUUGAAAAUUUGACAGCCAUGGUACAAAUGCAGGAGGUCGAAUUACAUUUGAUCAUAUAACAAAAAGCAUGAGUCUUCAGACUUUUCAGUGAUGGUUCUUCAACCAGAGAAUGUGGUGGGUGUGUAUGGUUUUAUACCUAGUAGUUGCGCAUACAUUUGCUUUUUGGGUUAGCUUACAAAGAUUGUUGCUGUUUGAGACAGGUGCACCCACGGUUACUGAGAUAACAGUACUCUGAUUCAGGCCAUGCUGACAAACAGGCCUGACUGAAAUCAACCCUGAUGUGCAAACACUGCAAGCUUGUGUAAAGUCACACCUUACUGGGGACUAAUGCCCUGAGCCAGAACCACAGUACCUUGUCUGGUCUGAACUGGGUGGAAUAAAGCAUUGCUAUGCUUUUACACCUGCACACACACCAAAGGGGUGUUUGACUGCAAGGCUGUCACUUCACACUACAGGUGUUCACAGUCUUCGGAGCCCACUGAGCUCUCCUGCACUGAGAUCUCUCAGCAGGAAGAUGCUUCUCGGAGUUACCUCUCAAGAGUGACAGAUUGCCUUACCCAGCAUUUGAUGUCUACAAUGAGGGAUGGUCUAAAAAGGUCUAAACAUGUAUUGUAGACAAGCCAUUUAUUUGUCAUGCAGUAAGUACCAGGUUGUAUGACUGCUGUUCAGUCAUUGUUUAAUGCAAUGUUUUGUUAAUCCCACAAAAUUGACUCAGAGCUCUGGAGUCAUUGUGGUUAAAAAAGAUGUUCAAGAUCACUGAGUCCAACCUCUGACCAAGCACUGUGUCAAAUAAACCAUAGCACUAAGCGCUGUGUCCUGAAGAAGUAAUUUUGAACUCUUCCUGGGAUGGUGACUCCAUCACUUCCCUGGGCAGCCCAUUUCAGUAUCUCAGCAUUACUCCUGUGAAGAAAUUCUUACUGGUAUCCAACCUGACCCUCCCCGGGGGCAGCUUUAAGGUGAAUUCUUCUCAUCCUGUUGCCUGGGAGAGGAGACCAACCCUACCUAGCUACACCCUCCUUUCAGGCAGUUGUAGAGCGCAGUAAGGUGUCCCCUUGAACCUCAUUUUCUCCAGCCUAAACACCCCCACUUCCUUCAGCUGCUCCUGAUAGAAAUUGUGUUCCAGACCCUUCCCCAGGUCCAUUGCCCUUCUCUGGACACACUCCAGCUGCUCAAUGCUCUUUCUGAAUUGAGGGGCCCAGAACUGAGCACAGGACUUGAGGUGUGGCCUCACCAGUACUGGGAGAGCUGACUCCUCUAGGUACUUGUCUUGCAAUUCGAUUUCUGUGGUGUUCAGACAGGGUCAGGUACUUCUGGCUUUCCUCCAAGAAAGCUCCAAGGUUCACGUGGAAAAAGUCAUCAUAUGUUGUCAUUGUGUCAAAAUCUAAUAUUCUAAUAUAACAGUUUUACUGCAAUAAAUUAUAUUUUAUGAUAAAGGUUGCUUACUGCUGUAGGGAGUGUGGUGUGGCUCUGUUCAUUAUGAGGUCAAUAAGCAUCAAUGGGCUUGUGGACACAGCAUCAUUGACAGACAGUGCAAACAUGGUCCUCCAAAUUAUGAAAGAUAAAAGGAAUGGAAGCAAACCUCAGUCUAAAAUAAUGCUGAUUUUUUUUUGGAUAAAACAUUUCUGAGAAACACUCUAUAUGCUUUACACUUUGG